rnacentral:rRNA from 1 species
UACAGAGGUCUCAAGCGUUGUUCGGAUUCAUUGGGCGUAAAGGGUGUGUAGGUGGCGCCGUAAGUCGGGUGUGAAAUUUCGGAGCUUAACUCCGAAACUGCAUUCGAUACUGCGGUGCUUGAGGACUGGAGAGGAGACUGGAAUUCAUGGUGUAGCAGUGAAAUGCGUAGAUAUCUGGAGGAACACCGGUGGCGAAGGCGGCAUCCUGGACCAACACUGACGCUGAGGAGCGAAAGCCAGGGGAGCAAACGGG